rnacentral:rRNA from 1 species
AAAACCGACACAGGUGGUCAGGUAGAGAAUACCAAGGCGCUUGAGAGAACUCUGGUGAAGGAACUAGGCAAAAUGGCACCGUAACUUCGGGAGAAGGUGCGCUGCUGGUGGUGAAGGGUUUACCCCGUAAGCUACUGGCAGCCGAAGAUACCAGGCCGCUGCGACUGUUUAUUAAAAACACAGCACUCUGCAAACACGAAAGUGGACGUAUAGGGUGUGACGCCUGCCCGGUGCCGGAAGGUUAAUUGAUGGGGUCAGCCGCAAGGCGAAGCUCUUGAUCGAAGCCCCGGUAAACGGCGGCCGUAACAAUAACGGUCCUAAGGUAGCGAAAUUCCUUGUCGGGUAAGUUCCGACCUGCACGAAUGGCGUAACGAUGGCGGCGCUGCCUCCACCAGAGACUCAGUGAAAUCGAAAUCGCGGUGAAGAUGCCGUGUACCCGUGGCUAGACGGAAAGACCCCGUGAACCUUUACUGUAGCUUCACACUGGACUUUGACAUGAUCUGUGUAGGAUAGCUGGGAGGCUUUGAAGUGGUGACGCUAGUUGCCAUGGAGCCAACCUUGAAAUACCAGCCUGGUCCUGUCGGGGUUCUAACGCCGACCCGUUAUCCGGGUUGCGGACAGUGUGUGGUGGGCAGUUUGACUGGGGCGGUCUCCUCCCAAAGAGUAACGGAGGAGCACGAAGGUGCGCUAAUGACGGUCGGAAAUCGUCAGGUUAGUGUAAAGGCACAAGCGCGCUUGACUGCGAGACAAACAAGUCGAGCAGGUACGAAAGUAGGUCUUAGUGAUCCGGUGGUUCUGUAUGGAAGGGCCAUCGCUCAACGGAUAAAAGGUACUCCGGGGAUAACAGGCUGAUACCGCCCAAGAGUUCAUAUCGACGGCGGUGUUUGGCACCUCGAUGUCGGCUCAUCACAUCCUGGGGCUGAAGCCGGUCCCAAGGGUAUGGCUGUUCGCCAUUUAAAGUGGUACGCGAGCUGGGUUUAGAACGUCGUGAGACAGUUCGGUCCCUAUCUGCCAUGGGCGUUGGAGAUUUGAGAAGAGUUGCUCCUAGUACGAGAGGACCGGAGUGAACGAACCUCUGGUGUACCGGUUGUUUCGCCAGAAGCAUUGCCGGGUAGCUACGUUCGGACGGGAUAACCGCUGAAAGCAUCUAAGCGGGAAGCCUCCUUCAAGACGAGAUCUCCCUGAGACUUUAAGUCUCCUAAAGGGCCGUCGAAGACUACGACGUUGAUAGGCAGGGUGUGGAAGCGCUGUGAAGCGUUAAGCUGACCUGUACUAAUUGCCCGUGCGGCUUGAUCAA